CUACGGGGCGCUGCAGUGAGGAAUUUUGCGCAAUGGGGGAAACCCUGACGCAGCAACGCCGCGUGAGUGAUGAAGGCCUUCGGGUCGUAAAACUCUGUCAAGUGGGAAGAACCUAUGUAAGGUUAAUACCCUUAUGUACUGACGGUACCACUGAAGGAAGCACCGGCUAGCUCCGUGCCAGCAGCCGCGGUAAUACGGAGGGUGCAAGCGUUAUUCGGAAUUAUUGGUCGUACAGGGCGCGCAGGCGGUUUUGUAAGUCAGAUGUGAAAGCCCGGGGCUUAACCUCGGAAGUGCAUUUGAUCCUGCAAGACUUGAGUAUGGGAGGGGGAAGUGGAAUUCCUGGUGUAGAGGUGAAAUUCGUAGAUAUCAGGAGGAACACCAGUGGCGAAGGCGACUUCCUGGACCAAUACUGACGCUGAGGCGCGAAGGCGUGGGGAGCAAACAGGAUUAGAUACCCUCGUAGUC
rnacentral:rRNA from 1 species